GACGAACGCUGGCGGCGUGCUUAACACAUGCAAGUCGAACGGAAAGGCCCUGCUUUUGUGGGGUGCUCGAGUGGCGAACGGUUGAGUAACACGUGAGUAACCUGCCCUUUACUUUGGGAUAACUUCAGGAAACUGUGGCUAAUACCGGAUAGGAGCUCCUGCUGCAUGGUGGGGGUUGGAAAGUUUCGGCGGUUGGGGAUGGACUCGCGGCUUAUCAGCUUGUUGGUGGGGUAGUGGCUUACCAAGGCUUUGACGGGUAGCCGGCCUGAGAGGGUGACCGGCCACAUUGGGACUGAGAUACGGCCCAGACUCCUACGGGAGGCAGCAGUGGGGAAUAUUGCACAAUGGGCGGAAGCCUGAUGCAGCAACGCCGCGUGCGGGAUGACGGCCUUCGGGUUGUAAACCGCUUUCGCCUGUGACGAAGCGUGAGUGACGGUAAUGGGUAAAGAAGCACCGGCUAACUACGUG
rnacentral:rRNA from 1 species